rnacentral:rRNA from 1 species
GAUGAACGCUGACAGAAUGCUUAACACAUGCAAGUCAACUUGAACUUCGGUUUGGGUGGCGGACGGGUGAGUAACGCGUAAAGAACUUGCCUCACAGCUAGGGACAACAUUUGGAAACGAAUGCUAAUACCUGAUAUUAUGAUUAUAUGGCAUCGUAUAAUUAUGAAAGCUAUAUGCGCUGUGAGAGAGCUUUGCGUCCCAUUAGCUAGUUGGAGAGGUAACAGCUCACCAAGGCGAUGAUGGGUAGCCGGCCUGAGAGGGUGAUCGGCCACAAGGGGACUGAGACACGGCCCUUACUCCUACGGGAGGCAGCAGUGGGGAAUAUUGGACAAUGGACCGAGAGUCUGAUCCAGCAAUUCUGUGUGCACGAUGAAGUUUUUCGGAAGGUAAAGUGCUUUCAGUUGGGAAGAAAAAAUGACGGUACCAACAGAAGAAGUGACGGCUAAAUACGUG